CAGAGCAAAAACUUCAUCUCAAAAAAAAAAAAAAAAAAAAGAUGUAGGAAGCAAGUGAGGUAUGGCUUUGCAGAAUAAGGAUUUUAAAUGGAUUGGUGGUAUAAGCGGGCAAAAAAUAUUCCUGUGAUGGUUAAUUUUAUUUUUCAACUUGACUAAACCACAGGUACCCAUACAUUUGGUCAAACAUUAUUCUAGGUGUGUCUGUGAGGGUGUUUCUGGAUGAGAUUAACAUUUGAAUCUGAAGAAUAAAACAGGUUCCUCCUUAAUGCGAGUGAGUUUCAUCUAAUCUAUUGAUAACCUGUAUAGAACAAAAAACUGAGCAAGAGAUAACGUUGCCUGCCUGCCUGCCUACUUGAGACAUUAGUCUUCUGCCUUCAGAUUGGAAUUUAUAUUAAUACCAUCUACUCCUUGGUUCUCAGUCCUUCUGACAUGAACUGGAACAACACCAUCAGCUCUCCCGGAUCUCCAGCUUGCAGACAGCAGAUCAUGGGACUUUUCAGCUUCUGUAAUUGUGAGGUGGUUGAGAACCAUUGACGUAGACUGACUUAGCAGAUCUUCAAAUGUGAAUAGGGAAUCCUGCCAUUCCACUGAUGAGAACAGCAUGCUUAGGAUAUUGCUUCUGAGAAGAGAGGCAUCCUGUUGUAUGUAGUGGCCACAUAACAGACUGCAAAGAACUGGAACGCAGAGUAAUUUUAAUCCAAAAUGUUCAAAGGUAAGUGGCUAAAAAUAGUCCAUUCUUCUUCCAUGCUAAAACUUUAACAACUAUGAGAGAGGAAAAGCUUGACAGAUUCUCUGUAGAAUUUGUCAACUACUUUUGCCAGAGGUCAAAACUGAUCAUAAAUACUGUGCCUUAGUAGCCUAACAUGGCUUCUGAACUGUGAAUAGAAGCUGGGAUUUUGUAGCAAAUGGUGUUCCUCAGAACUCGAGGUUUCCAAGGUGACUGCAUAUGAAACUACAAACAUCACAAUAGCAGUUUCCAGAGGGACUCUCUUUAUGGUCCUCCCCAUACCCUCCAUCCCCAAACUAUUACAUUCUUUACACUGUGAUUCUUUCUAAAGUGAGAUAGAAACUAAAUAAUUGAUUUGAAUAUCAAAGAAAAGAUGUACAUUUCCAUCUUCUCAAUUUUCAUUAGAGUACUGAUUUUUCAAGUCUUCCCAAUAAGACCUAAUGCUCUCAGAACAUCUAAUGACCCAUGCAACUAACUUGACUCCAUGUGUAACAGACAGCUAGGCUGUUGAUUAUUUUAAUUAGCAAUUAAAAGUAAUACAUUCACAAAUGUUAUUUGGAUUUUUCAUUUAAAUGAAAUCUCUAGCUUUGAUCAGGAUUGAAAAUCGGUUCAGCCUAUGGGGCAGUGCAUCAUAGAAGGAGCUCUGGAUUAGGAGGAGAUGCCUGUCAUUGAGUUAGCCACUAACUCGCGAUGGGGACCCAUUCUCCUGUAUACAAUGAGAGGGUUGGACUAGCAAUUGAAAGGGUCCAUCUCUCAGCCCUGAAACACACUUCAUGUUUCUUAGCAGCAAAUAGAUUCUGGAAGAUUAAUAGUCAAUGUAAGUAUACUGCCUGCCAUAUGAUUAUAAUGUAAGAGAUCUCCUGCACUGAGUCAAGUGGUCACCCUGUGCUCUCUUCAUCCCCCAUGCUAGCCUUCAGUAGACAUCCUCAAGAGUAUUCUGUGUCCACUUACUGAUAUAUUGUACAGGAAUCCCUCUCUGUGGGGAGCAAAGUAGGUGAUCCACAUAGCUCUAGGAAGGCUGAAAACAAUAUUAGUGUCUUAUAUGUAAAUAACUAUACCUCACUCAAGCUUAAUUUUUUAAAAGCCACUUACUAAAAUUUAUACCUAAAAAUUAUUGCAUACUUACUAUACAGUAGGCAAUGUGCUAAAUAAAACAUUGUAGGAAGAAGUCACAUUAAUAUUAUUAUCCCCACCUUACAGUUAGUUGGGGGAAGUUAAGCCUAAGGUAACUCAGCUAGCAGCAGAGUAGAUGUUCCCACUGCAACUCUAUCACUAGAACCCAUGCUUUUAAAUGUUACCUGAAAACUGCCACUAUUUACUGGAAUGAACAAAUGCUACAGUAAUAGACUGAGUUUUAGGGCUCUGGGAAAAAGUACAUUGUAAUCAGCUAAAAUUGAGGAAGUACUUAAUUUGUGUCAAGAGACUCUGGGUGAUGUGAAUGUAUACAUUUAAAAUAAUAUAUAUCAUUUUAAAUGGUUAUCUAUUGGAUACAAAUUGAAAAACUUCUAUCUUUGGUCCAGCCAUUAAAUAAAUAUUUUGGUUAGUAACUAGCUUACCUACUUUGCAAUUUUAUAUUACCCAUUUCAGGAUCCUCUGUUAGUGAAAAUGGUAACAUGAGAAGCCUGAAAUGGUAUUUAAAAGCGAUAUGGAGGUCGUUCUGGUGUUGGUCUCAGUAGGGUUAGCUGGGGGAUUAUGUGAAAGCUGAGGGCUGAACAAGUCAGAAGGCAUAUUUGGAAAGUGAUUAAAGUGAUUACAUUCAAUAAUAAUAAUCACUAUGUAGUGAACACCAACGAUGCUUUCAGACUUUCAUAUGGUCCCGCGAGUUCUCAAUACAUCCUAUGCAGUAUGUGGUAGAAUCCCUAUUGAACAGAUGAGGCUCAGUAAGGUGGAAUGACUUGCCCAAGUCCACCCUGUCAUUCACUUGGAGAUGGGGCUCAGGUAACCAGGACUAUCUGGCUUCAAAGUAGCCUUCUUAAAACUUUCCAUUGAAUUGCCAGCUCUCAUAGAGGAUUAGUGCAUUCCUCUGGGGGUCUGGGACACAGACACACAGACUCACUAAAAGGUAAGUGUUUUUUAUGGAAAUCUCUUCUGUUCAGCUUCAAAAGUUAUACAAAUUUGGUGUUGUACCAUAUACAAUAUCCCUAUUUAAUGAAAAAUAAUAGUUUAUCAUUUGUGAGUUAUUUGAUUUGUAUCCAAAUCUUUGGGUAAAAUAUUCUCCAGGAAGAUGUGUCAAGUUUAUCCUAUGGCUUUCUGUGCUCUAAUUCAGGAUGAACAAAACUGCAAUAAAGCAGAGUAAGUAAACACAAAGAGUGGCCAAGAUGGCCAACUAAAAGCAGAUAGGAUGCGUGGCUCUCACAGAGAGGAAAGGAAGGAAGGGGCAAGUAAAUACAGCACUGCCAACUGACACAUCCAGACAGUCAACACUGGGACUAAUCAAGGAAACAACUCGACCCACAGAGAAUGGAGAAGAGCAAGGCAGGACGACGGCCCAUCUGGGAGCAGAAUGUGGAGCCAAGGGAACCUCCCUUGCCAAGAGAUGAAUGAAAUGAUAGGAUAGAAGCCUGGCGGAUAUCUGGACAGAACUAUGCAAGAGCCUUCCUGAGAAUGGAAGC
rnacentral:lncRNA from 1 species